GUCCACACCGUAAACGAUGAUUACUAGGUGUUGGAGGAUUGACCCCUUCAGUGCCGCAGUUAACACAAUAAGUAAUCCACCUGGGGAGUACGACCGCAAGGUUGAAACUCAAAGGAAUUGACGGGGGCCCGCACAAGCAGUGGAGUAUGUGGUUUAAUUCGACGCAACGCGAAGAACCUUACCAAGUCUUGACAUCCCUUGACGAUGCUGAAAACAGGAUUUCUCUUCGGAGCAAGGAGACAGGUGGUGCAUGGUUGUCGUCAGCUCGUGUCGUGAGAUGUUGGGUUAAGUCCCGCAACGAGCGCAACCCUUAUCCUCAGUAGCCAGCAGUAAGAUGGGCACUCUGUGGAGACUGCCAGGGAUAACCUGGAGGAAGGUGGGGAUGACGUCAAAUCAUCAUGCCCCUUAUGAUUUGGGCUACACACGUGCUACAAUGGCGUAAACAAAGGGAAGCGAGAGGGUGACCUGGAGCAAAUCCCAAAAAUAACGUCCCAGUUCGGACUGUAGUCUGCAACCCGACUACACGAAGCUGGAAUCGCUAGUAAUCGCAGAUCAGAAUGCUGCGGUGAAUACGUUCCCGGGUCUUGUACACACCGCCCGUCACACCAUGGGAGUCGAAAAUGCCCGAAGUCGGUGACCUAACGAAAGAAGGAGCCGCCGAAGGCAGGUUUGAUAACUGGGGUGAAGUCGUAACAAGGUAGCCGUAUCGGAAGGUGCGGCUG
rnacentral:rRNA from 1 species